rnacentral:rRNA from 1 species
UACGUAGGGUGCAAGCGUUAAUCGGAAUUACUGGGCGUAAAGCGUGCGUAGGUGGUGAGUUAAGUCUGUCGUGAAAGCCCCGGGCUCAACCUGGGAAUGGCGAUGGAUACUGGCUCGCUAGAGUGCGGUAGAGGAGAGUGGAAUUCCCGGUGUAGCAGUGAAAUGCGUAGAGAUCGGGAGGAACAUCAGUUGCGAAGGCGGCUCUCUGGACCAGCACUGACACUGGAGGCACGGAAAGCGUGGGGAGCAAACAGG